rnacentral:tRNA from 1 species
GGUUAUAGCUCAGUGGUAGAGCGCUUGCCUAGCAUGUAUGAGGCACUGGGUUCGAUUCUCAGCACCA